AGCGAACGCUGGCGGCAGGCCUAACACAUGCAAGUCGACCGACCUCUUCGGAGUUAGUGGCGGACGGGUGAGUAACACGUGGGAACGUGCCUUUAGGUUCGGAAUAACUCAGGGAAACUUGUGCUAAUACCGAAUGUGCCUUUCGGGGAAAAGAUUUAUCGCCUUUAGAGCGGACCGCGUCGGAUUAGCUAGUUGGUGAGGUAACGGCUCACCAAGGCGACGAUCAGUAGCUGGUCUGAGAGGAUGACCCGCCACACUGGGACUGAGACACGGCCCAGACUCCUACGGGAGGCAGCAGUGGGGAAUCUUGCGCAAUGGGCGAAAGCCUGACGCAGCCAUGCCGCGUGAAUGCUGAAGGUCUUAGGAUUGUAAAAUUCUUUCACCGGGGACGAUAAUGACGGUACCCGGAGAAGAAGCCCCGGCUAACUUCGUGCCAGCCGCCGCCGUAACAC
rnacentral:rRNA from 1 species